GGUUAAGCGACUAAGCGUACACGGUGGAUGCCCUGGCAGUCAGAGGCGAUGAAGGACGUGCUAAUCUGCGAUAAGCGCCGGUAAGGUGAUAUGAACCGUUAUAACCGGCGAUUUCCGAAUGGGGAAACCCAGUGUGAUUCGUCACACUAUCAUUAACUGAAUCCAUAGGUUAAUGAGGCGAACCGGGGGAACUGAAACAUCUAAGUACCCCGAGGAAAAGAAAUC
rnacentral:rRNA from 5 species